CAGUAGCCGCGGUAAUACGAAGGGGACUAGCGUUGUUCGGAAUCACAGGGCGUAAAGGGUGCGUAGGCGGGUCUUUAAGUCAGGGGUGAAAUCCUGGAGCUCAACUCCAGAACUGCCUUUGAUACUGAAGAUCUUGAGUUCGGGAGAGGUGAGUGGAACUGCGAGUGUAGAGGUGAAAUUCGUAGAUAUUCGCAAGAACACCAGUGGCGAAGGCGGCUCACUGGCCCGAUACUGACGCUGAGGCACGAAAGCGUGGGGAGCAAGCAGGAUUAGAUACCCCCGUAGUCCCUGUCUCUUAUAC
rnacentral:rRNA from 1 species